AUUGAACGCUGGCGGCAGGCCUAACACAUGCAAGUCGAGCGAGCGGCGGACGGGUGAGUAAUGUCUGGGAAAAUGCCUGAUGGGGGGGGAUAACUCCUGGAAACGGUAGCUAAUACCGCGUACCCUCACAGAUGCCCAGAUGGGAUUAGCUGGUGGGUGGGGUAACGGCUCACCUAGGCGACGAUCCCUAGCUGGUCUGAGAGGAUGACCAGCCACACUGGAACUGAGACACGGUCCAGACUCCUACGGGAGGCAGCAGUGGGGAAUAUUGCACAAUGGGCGCAAGCCUGAUGCAGCCAUGCCGCGUGUGUGAAGAAGGCCUUCGGGUUGUAAAGCACUUUCAGCGGGGAGGCGUUACCCGCAGAAGAAGCACCGGCUAACUCCGUGCCAGCAGCCGCGGUAAUAC
rnacentral:rRNA from 1 species